AUACGGAGGGUCCAAGCGUUAUCCGGAAUCAUUGGGUUUAAAGGGUCCGCAGGCGGUCAAUUAAGUCAGAGGUGAAAGCCCAUCGCUCAACGAUGGAACUGCCUUUGAUACUGGUUGACUUGAGUUAUACGGAAGUAGAUAGAAUAAGUAGUGUAGCGGUGAAAUGCAUAGAUAUUACUUAGAAUACCGAUUGCGAAGGCAGUCUACUACGUAUAUACUGACGCUGAGGGACGAAAGCGUGGAGAGCGAACAGGAUUAGAUACCCAGUAGUCC
rnacentral:rRNA from 1 species